AUGGAUAGUAGGAGAGGGAGAUGAUGAAUAUCAGGUGUGGCCUCAAGACCAGUCAUGGUGGUGGGGGGUGUACUUUGUCCACUAACUUUUCUCUGUAAGUUUCCCCCAGGAAAAGAGGCCCUCCAGAACCCUGGAAGCUGCCCUCAGAGCUUAAACGAAGAAGUGGAGCUCUGUGGCACAAGGAUUCAGUCCAGGAUACCACAUUGCACAUUUUUCUCCAGUGUCUGAAAUCUACCCUGAGGCCUGGCAUUCAAGGCUCUGCCCUAUGAAGCAUCUGCUGACCUCUUUGGCCUCAUUCUAGUCCCUCUCAUCUGCCUAUACUACGGCCACACUGGUGUCCUAUCACCACCAUGAGUGAAAAUGCUUCAGGAAUAGCUCCCUCCUCCAUGUGACGCCCUGUGAUAGGCUCCAGGCCACUGAGAUGAACCAGGUAAGGACUCCGUAUCAGGGCUCACAGUCAAGGAUCCAUAGCAGUCUGGCA